rnacentral:lncRNA from 9 species
UUUUUUCAAAGUAAACGCUUCGGGCCCCGCGGGACACUCAGCUAAGAGCAUCGAGGGGGCGCCGAGAGGCAAGGGGCGGGGACGGGCGACAGACGGGAGGUCAGACAGACGAGCGGGAGCGAGGAGGGCGAACGUGGGAGCGGCCGGCAUCGAGAGAGAUGCCACAAAGGGACGGUGGCGGAGGGGGCGGCCGCAGGCCUCCAACGAGGUGGGGGGGGGCCACGGGGACCAUCCCCAAAAACCAGAUGCGAGUCGGCUGCCAGGGCACGACACGGGGUCUCACCGCCAGAGGCCUCCAGCACAACGGCGGUCCCGCCGCAACACCCAGGACGCCGACUGGCCUCCCCCUCAACCCCUGGGGGCCCCCCCCUCGCGGGGGCCCCACGACCGCCACCGACGACACCGACGAGCCACAGCCGGCCCCGUGGAAACAAGUCUCCCAAGGCACCUACCGACGACCACCCCCCACACCCCACACGCACCCGCCAUGCCCAACCCUCUUCCCCCACCCCCCCGCGCACAGGGGGACACCCGAGAAGCACAUCACCCAGGGACACCCGCCCGGCCACGGCGGCCAGGGGGUGACACCCACACGAGGUGAGGCCAUUUCAGGUCCCCGGUUGACACGGGGGCGGGAGGGAGAGAGACAUGGCACAGGCAAGGCAGGGCGGUCACCUGUUCGGGGCAGGGGGAGGGCCGGCAGCACCGGGGAAGGGCGGCAAUGCACACGGGGCAAGGGCUGUGAGGCAGGGACGCGGGUGCCUGCCCAGGGAGAGGAGAAAGGACCCAGGCACGCCAGGCAAACCAGCACGGGGUCACACCACCACACACACGAGGGCAGUCCCAUGACACCUGGGACACCAGGCGGCCUCAGUCGCCCCAGAGCACUCCACGACCCGGCCCCACCACCAGGGACCCAUGUGCAAAGGCUUCCCCCCCCCUGCCACGUGGGGGGGGGGGCUCGUCCGCCUCAUCUCACCCAUCCGUCCAUCUUUCCACCCUCAUCUCAUCCGUCCUUCACCUAGUCCACCCUCCAGGGCCUGACGCCUGGGGGAAACGCUCCUGAGCGAGGCGGCCCGAACCAUGCUCGCUCACCACCUCCACACCACCAGCUGCGACCCCAGGCGAGUGCGGGAAGAACCGACAGGCGGCUCGCAGCGGGGGAGGCAGGGGCAGAGGCCGCCGGGGGACGGGGCGCAUCCCCCUCCUCCACUUCCCCUUCCAAGGGGAGGGGCACCACGUGCCCACGCAGCACACAGCCCGGCGCUGGAUGCCAAAACCCGGCCCGGCCCGGCGUGACCCUCCCCCAACUCGGAGGGGGGAGGUACAGGCCGCAUUAGGCAAAAGAGCAGCGCUUGGCCCCCACCGCGGGGGCCAGCGCACCCCUCGCGCGAGGGCGGCUCUUGCCCACACGCUGUGGCAAGUAGCACCGGCAGCUACUGCCUUGCACACUUCAGAGGGGCGGCGGCUGGGGGGUCCAGGUACCCCAAGGCCCCCCUCUCAGAUCGCUAGAGAAGGCUUUCUCACCGAGGGCGCGUCGUGCCCCCCACACCAUCGCUCGCCCCUUCGGGGACCCACGGGAGUGGGAACACUCCCAAAAAGUGGGAAGUCAGAAGGGGGGGGGUCUGCGGUAUGGGUAAAGCACACAGCCCAUGUGAGCGUCCACGGUCAGAGCCGGGAGGGCAAGAGUCUGUGCUGCCACCAGGCUUGCCUUUCAGACUUCUCCACGUGGGUGGAGGGGUGCCACGUCCGGAAAGCCAGACGGGGACCCCCCCUUCACAUCUCCCGGCCCACCGCGGUCGCUCUCACGACCACAUGCAGCCUUCCCGGUCAAGGGAGAAGCAUGGGGCGUGCCGCUCAAGGGCCAAGGGCUGCCCUCACUGGCACACAGUGAGGGAGACCCAUGACAAGGGGUCCACCUGAGCCCCUCCCGGGGAGGGGACACAAGCUUCCCCUGCCUUACCGUCUCGACCCCCUCCCCUGAGCUUUAGGAAGCUGCUCGUGGGGCACGCCACCACCACAGUGGGGACCCGAGGGGACUCACCGCUGGGAGAGGAAAACGACACCACCGCUCGGCCUCGGGCAUCUGACAGGCAACCCGGAGUACUCCAGGGGCACCACAGAGGACCAGGGGAGGCACGCUCACGCACCCGCAGGGAUGCGAAGCAUGGCAGCGAGGGAGGCCUCCCCCCCACUUUGGGGAGGGACCGCUCGCAAGGCACACGCCAAGGCGGCAAAGCGAGAAUGCCUGCUGCGUCCCAAAGGACCCAGGCCCCCCCCCCUGACUGACACCCGAAGGCAGCAGGGCGGGAGACCAGAGGUCAGGCUGGAGGCCGCACCCCUGCCUUCCCCCACACCACCCGCAGGUGGGGGAGGAGCAGCGAGGGGCCCGCGACAGAAUGAGAGGCGCGGCCCAGCUCACCAUGAGCGGCCGUCCCUCAUCUGGCGCGGCUUAAGCCCAAGCCCAGGAGAGCGCCACAUCACCACAUCGAUC